GACCUCAGAUCAGGCAGGACUACCCGCCGAACUUAAGCAUAUCAAUAAGCGGAGGAAAAGAAACUAACAAGGAUUCCCCUAGUAACUGCGAGUGAAGAGGGAAGAGCUCACAUUUAAAAUCUGGCGGUCUGGCGGCCGUCCGAGUUGUAGCCUGGAGAAGCGUCCUCUGCGCCGGACCCGUGUACAAGUCUCCUGGAACGGAGCGUCGUAGAGGGUGAUAAUCCCGUCGUCGACACGGACCUCCGGUUAGCUAUGCGAGGCGCUCUCGAAGAGUCGAGUUGUUUGGGAAUGCAGCUCAAAGUGGGUGGUGAAUUCCAUCUAAAGCUAAAUACAGGCGAGAGACCGAUAGCGGACAAGUACCGUGAGGGAAAGAUGAAAAGCACUCUGGAAAGAGAGUUAAACAGCACGUGAAAUCGCUGAGAGGGAAACGCUUGAAGUCAGUCGCGUCGGCGUUAGGAGGUCAGCCUUCCCGGGAUAAUAACCGUGGGGCGCACUCUCCCGUCGACGGGCCAGCAUCGAUUUCGACCGCCGGAGAAGGGCUCGGGGAACGUGGCACCUCCGGGUGUGUUAUAGCCCCCUGUCGUAUGCGGCGGUCGGGAUCGAGGUUUUUACAUGUUCGCAGCACGCCUUUUUGGCCGGGGCCGUUCGCGGUCCACGUCCGUGCUUAGGAUGCUGGCGUAAUGGCUUUAAACGACCCGUCUUGAAACACGGACCAAGGAGUCCAACUCGCCUGCGAGUGUUUGGGUGGAAAACCCGAGCGCGUAACGAAAGUGAAAGGUCGAGAACCCCUUUGACCGGGGGGGCACCGACGCCCGGGCCCUUUCAACCCCCUCGAAAGGGGGGGCCCUGGACCCGCGGUAGAGCAUGCGUGUUGGGACCCGAAAGAUGGUGAACUAUGCCUGAAUAGGGUGAAGCCAGGGGAAACCCUGGUGGAGGCUCGUAGCGAUUCUGACGUGCAAAUCGAUCGUCGAAUUUGGGCAUAGGGGCGAAAGACUAAUCGAACCAUCUAGUAGCUGGUUCCCGCCGAAGUUUCCCUCAGGAUAGCAGAAGCUCGCGCAUCAGAUUUACGUGGUAAAGCGAAUGAUUAGAGGUCCUGGGGUCCUUUGCGUCCUCAACCUAUUCUCAAACUUUGAACAUGUAAGAACCGGCCGUCGCUCGAAUGGACGGCCCGGGACGAUUGAGAGCUUCUAGUGGGCCAUUUUUGGUAAGCAGAACUGGCGAUGCGGGAUGAACCGAACGUGAGGUUAAGGUGCCGGAAUGCACGCUCAUCAGACACCACAAAAGGUGUCGGUUCAUCUAGACAGCAGGACGGUGGCCAUGGAAGUCGGAACCCGCUAAGGAGUGUGUAACAACUCACCUGCCGAAUGAACCGGCCCUGAAAAUGGAUGGCGCUCAAGCGUGCUACCCAUACCUCACCGUCGGCGUUAUAGUGACGCGCCGACGAGUAGGCGGGCGUGGGGGUCCUGUGCAGAAGCCCAGGCGGUGACGCCGGGUGGAACGGCCCCUAGUGCAGAUCUUGGUGGUAGUAGCAAAUAUUCAAGCGAGAGCCUUGAAGACUGAAGUGGAGAAAGGUUCCACGGUAACAGCAGUUGGACGUGGGUCAGUCGAUCCUAAGAGAUAGGGAAGCUCCGUUUCAAAGUCGCGCGCUUGUCCGCGCCGCCUAUCGAAAGGGAAUCCGGUUAAGAUUCCGGAACCGGGAUGCGGAGCCUUAGACGGCAACGUAAAUGAGCUUGGAGACGUCGGCGAGGGCCCCGGGAAGAGUUAUCUUUUCUCCUUAACGGCCGCCUCUCACCCUGAAAUCGGUUCGUCCGGAGCUAGGGUGCGACGGUCGGUAGAGCUCGACGCCUCUGUCGGGUCCGGUGCGUCCUCGACGGCCCUUGAAAAUCCAAGGGAACGCAAUCAGCUUUCGCGCCCGGUCGUACUCAUAACCGCAGCAGGUCUCCAAGGUGAACAGCCUCUAGUUGAUAGAACAAUGUAGAUAAGGGAAGUCGGCAAAACAGAUCCGUAACUUCGGGAUAAGGAUUGGCUCUAAGGGUCGGGCGCGUCGGGCCCCGGAUUUCGGAAGCCGCUCGACUUGGCUGGGACUGUCGAGGGGCAACCUUCGACGGACUCGACCGGGUCCUGUCGGUGGAUGGCCGGGGCGGCCUCCUCUUCUCGGGGGGGCGUCCGGCGCGCGCUUUGCGACCGACUUAGAACUGGUACGGACAAGGGGAAUCUGACUGUCUAAUUAAAACAUAGCAUUGCGACGGCCGGAAAGCGGUGUUGACGCAAUGUGAUUUCUGCCCAGUGCUCUGAAUGUCAAAGUGAAGAAAUUCAACCAAGCGCGGGUAAACGGCGGGAGUAACUAUGACUCUCUUAAGGUAGCCAAAUGCCUCGUCAUCUAAUUAGUGACGCGCAUGAAGGGAUUAACGAGAUUCCCACUGUCCCUAUCUACUAUCUAGCGAAACCACAGCCAAGGGAACGGGCUUGGCCGAAUCAGCGGGGAAAGAAGACCCUGUUGAGCUUGACUCUAGUUUGACAUUGUGAAAGGACGUAGGGGGCGUAGGAUAAGUGGGAGUCCUGGUUACGUCAUUGAAAUACCACUACCCCUAUCGUCUUUUUACUUAUCCGAUGAGGCGGAGCUGGGGCCCCAACGGGCUUCACCUUUUUGCUUCAAGGUCCACCCUCACCGGCGGGCCGAUCCGGGUCGGAGACAUUGUCAGGUGGGGAGUUUGGCUGGGGCGGCACGUCUGUUAAAAGAUAACGCAGGCGUCCUAAGGGGGACUCAUCGAGGACAGAAACCUCGAGUAGAACAGAAGGGUAAAAGUCCCCUUGAUUCGGAUUUUCAGUGUGAAUACGAACCGUGAAAGCGUGGCCUAUCGAUCC
rnacentral:rRNA from 1 species